rnacentral:tRNA from 1 species
GUUAUAGUUCAGAGGUAGAACAUUUACCUAACAUGCAUAUUCCCUGAGUUUAAUUCUCAGCACUAACA